UUUUUUUUUUUUUAGUCUUUUUAGGGCUGCACCCAUAGCAUAUGGAGGUUCCCAGGCUAGGGGUCUAAUCAGAAAUACAGCUGCAGCAACAUGGGAUUCGAGCUAUGUCUGUGACCUAUACCACAGCUCACAACAACACCAGAUCCUUAAUACACUGAGCAAGGCCAGGGAUCAAACCUACAACCUCAUGGUUCCUAGUCUGAUUUGUUUCCACUGCAUCACAAUGUGAACUCCCCACAAUUUUUUUUUAAUGAAAGAAAAAAAGCAUCAGAAUAUGGGCCAGGUUUCUCUCUAAAGCUUUCAGCCAAUAUAUUAUUAUUUGAUUGUAUAGAGGAAAUAUGCUCAAUAACUUCCAUUUUUUAAUUCUUCUUUUAAAGAUCUAAUUUUUCAAAAUAUAAAAAUAUAUCAUUAGGUUACAUUAGGUCAUGAUAAAGGUGGUGCCCAAAGCACAUUAGCUGAAGAAAACUGAAUUAUCUUUGGGGAUUAGGGGGAAGAGAUGUUGGUGGAGAAAUGCAAGGUAAUCAGGGAAUGGUAGGGCAUAGGGAGGACAACUGUGCUGAAGAUAGGAUAGAUAUUUAAUAAAAAUUUUACAAAAAUCUAUAUAAAUCAUACAUCCAUGACUUCAGAAUGUUGUUGUAUAGUCAGAAUAAUAUUCCUGUGCAGUAACUUGGAAAUUAUGAAAUAGCAUACAGAAGAAGUUUAUAGGUGGUGUGUAAAGAUCACACGUAAUUUAUAGUUAGAAGAAAGAUUCAAACAAUAAUAGUUCAAAGACAUUGGAAUACAAGACAAGCAACCAAUAAUAUUAAGAAACUGAAAGAUAUCUAGGCACAGUUUAAAGUUUGGGAAGGUAGCUGAGAAAGUUUUAGAGUUAGAAAAAAAUAUUUUGGGAAUCCCUGUUGUGGCUCAGCAGUAACAAACCCAACCCAACCAGUAUCCAUGAGGAUGUGGGUUUGAUCCCUGUCCUUGCUCAGGGGUUAAGGAUCUGGCAUUGCCAUGAACUGUGGUGUAGGUCACAGACAUGGCUUUGAUCCUGAGUUGCUAUGGCUGUGGCAUAGGCUGGCAGCUUCAGUUCUGAUUUGACCCCUAGCCUGGAAACUUCCAUAUGCCACAGGCGUGGCUCUAAAAAGUAAAAAAAAAAAAAAUAUACAAAAACUCAUGCAACACAACAACAAAAAAAUAAACAACUCAAUUCAAAAAUGUUAGAAGACCUAAAUAGACAUUUCUGCAAAGAAGAUAUAUGGAUGGCCAACAGGCAUAUGAAAAAAAUGCUCAAUAUCACAAAUUAUUAGAGAAAUGCAAAUCAAAACUAUAAUGAAGUACCACCUCACACCAGUCAGAAUGGCCAUCACAACAAGACAACAAAUAAUAAAUGCUGAAGAAUGUGUGGAGAAAAAGGUAAAUUGGUACAACCACUAUGGAAAACAGUAUGGAGGUACCUUAGGAAACUAAAUAUAGAGCUACCAUAUGAUCCAGCAAUUCCACUGCUGGGCAUAUAUCUAGACAAAACUUGCAUCAAAAGAGAUACAUGCACCCCUGUGUUCACAUCAGCACUAUUCACAAUAGCCAAGACAUGAAAACAAUCUAAAUGUCUAUCGACAGGUGAAUUGAUUAAGAAGAUGUGGUACAUAUAUACAAUGGGAUAUUACUCAGCCAUAAAAAAGACAAACUAAUACCAUUUGCAGCAACAUGGAUGGAGCUAGAGACUCUCUUACUAAGUGAAGUAAACCAGAAAGAAAAAACAAAUACCAUAUGAUAUCACUUAUUGGUGGAAUCUAAAGUAUGGAACAGACGAUCCUAUCUAAAAAUAACAAACAAAAAAAAAAACCAAAAAACAGAAACAGAGCAUGGCCAAGAAGAGCAGACUUGGAGUUCCAGGGGUGGAGGGAUGGGGAGGGAGUAGGAGGAAUGGGCAUUUUGGGGGUUUGGGGGAUGUAAACUGUUAUAUCUGGAAUGGAUGGGCAAUAGGAUCCUACCGUACAGCACAGGGAAAUGUGUGUGAUUGGGUCACUUUGCGGUAAAACAGAACUUGAUGAAUCAAUGUAAAUCAACCAUACUUUAAUAAUUUUAAAAAGAAAAAAAUUUAAAAACUGGAAAAUAAAAAGCAAAAUAAAAUUGGAAUAAAGAAUCAUCUUUUUGAAGAACUAGAGAGGAUAACAACAGAAAUUUCUACACGUAACUUCUUGUUUUAGAGUAGAGAGUAAAAAGGAAUGCUGAAUAUGGAAAAUGUUCCAUAUUCAUUUAUAACAUUGUAUUAGUUGCAUUAGUCAGUAGAGAAGAUCACUAUGAUAAAAAAUAGAAUUUCAAUGUUAUAAUUUAUCAAAAAUAAAUAGUGCACUGAAAAUCAAAACAAACUUUUCCAAAGAAUAAUGGAUUUUCACGUAACUAUUUUGAAAAUUUUCUAAAAAUUAAUUUUUAAUUAUGUUCUGAAACAUUUUAGUAGUAUAAGAAGUCACUUAUAACAAUUGUUUAUUCUACCAAUAUUUUAACCUAUGAUCAAUUUUUUAUGAUAUUAAAUCCUUACUUUGUUUCAUAUCAGAGUCUCAGGUACUAUGCUUAGUUUCUUAAUUUCUUUGAAAGUGUAGAGAGUGAUUUAAAAAUCAUGUGCAUAGUCAUUUUAGGUCUUUAUUUUCAGAAUUCAGAUUAUCAUUAAAGAAGUCACAUGCUGAGUGAGCCAAAAAUUCUAUUAAUUAGUUACACACUAGUAAGUAAGCUUUAAAUCCCAGCGCCAAUUAAAUCUAUUUAUAAUUGCAUUAGAAGCUGCUUAAUAUAGGACAUGUCUCCAAUUUUCAUAUGAUUUCUGAUCCAUGGUGUUAUAUAUAAAAAGGUAAUUAUUUUAAAUAUAUUCAAUUUAAAUGUUUAUUUUCAAUAAGUUUUUUUUAUCAUCUGAAGGCUUUCCUUUAUUUCUUACACACAUAACAGAUUGAGUGGGCUUGCAAGAAAUCCAUUAGAGUAAGAGUUUGAUACAAAAUGCAUUAUGAUUAAAAUUAUAUUUAUUAAAUAAUUUAUAAAUGGCUGCAACAAUUCUAAAUUUGAACUUCGGAAAUGUUACUGCUGAUCACAUUAUAAUUUCAUACCUUUCUGUUUGAUAAGUGACUCUGGGGCAAAAGCUGACUCAUACCUUAAGAUGACUGAGAAUAUUUGAGAAUUUAUUUAUUUAUUCUUUUAUUUAUUUUAGGGCAAGAAUUUCUUUAUUCCUAUUCACAGGUUGCCUAGAGAUGGCCAAAAGGCUGGAACUCUGAACCAAGGUCAUGAGUCUGAUGAGAAAACCUACAGAGAAAGCCUUUGGGAAGAGAAAGAUACUGUGUUACUGAUAACAAUCCAAACUCUACACUGUUUGAUAUAAAACACAAUUCAAAUAUAUUUUUCAUUCAGAUUCUCAGGAAAUUAUUUGCCUAUAAACAGUGAUUGUAUGUGACUGGCAAACUCUUGAAGGUAAGUAUGAAUAUUUAAAUAUAAAACCUCAAACAGGAAAUAUGUAUGUUUACUCUUUUUUUUUUCUUUUCCCACUGUACAGCAAGGGGAUCAAGUUAUCCUUACAUGUAUACAUUUCAUUACAUUUUUUUUCCCCCUCACCCUUUGUUCUGUUGCAACAUGAGUAUCUAGACAAAGUUCUCAAUGCUACUCAGCAGGAUCUCCUUGUAAAUCUAUUCUAAAUUGUGUCUGAUAAUCCCAAACUCCCGAUCCCUCCCACUCCCUCCUCCUCCCAUCAGGCAGCCACAAGUCUUUUCUCCAAGUCCAUGAUUUUCUUUUCUGUGGAGAUGUUCAUUUGUGACAUAUAGACUAAAACCCAUUGUUUAUAAUACAUUACAGCCUUUUACAUGAUUUUAAGUAUAUCAACUCUAUCAUAAAAAGGGUAAUUUAUUACAUUUAUCAAUAUAGGGGAUUAAUUAUUGAUUCAUAAUAACAUAGUUAAUAUACAGUAGCUCCAUAAAACAUGAGGCCAGGUUCUGAAGAUGAAUUUUAGGAAUUCGUACUCCAGGGAGAAAAUUUUCUCCAAAAAUAAACUACACUUUGAGAUGAUUUUGUGAAUAAAAAUGAGUAAACUUGUAUGUUAUAAUCAAGUUAUUUUUGUUUAUACCUUGAGUUCAUCUCAAGAGACCACUGAAAAAAGAUGGUGAACAUUUAAUAUCAGGAUUUUCUUCCUUGAUUAUUGAUAACACUUAGAAUAAUGCUCUCUCUGGUUCUAUUUCUACAUUUAAAUUGAUUAAAACUCGUUUAUCACUAUAAAGAGACAAAUAUUUCAAGACAUCGAACCAGGUUUUCAGGAUCGCUCCUGUCUCCUCAGUCUUUGAACACUUAGUUACCACUUCUAUAAAUUUGGAAGAUGUCUCAGGAUCUUAGAGAGAAUUUCAUUACACUUGCUUUUCAUUACGACCCAAAACAUUUAUCUUUCCAAUUAUUGAUUCCUCGGUCCCAAGCUUAAGGGAACUCAGUUUUCCUAAUCAGCAAAUCAUUCCUGAGAUAAAUUUUUAUUUCAACAACAAGAUGAAAUAAUCUGUGUAGGUCCACAUCUACCCAAAUGAUAAUUAAUAGAUCACAUUUAGCAUGUAAAUACAAGAUGCCAAAUACAUGCUGAUAGAAGUUAUCACACAAAAAAACAGAUUUUUUUUAAUAUAAGAGAUUUUUGUGUUUGAAUUAUGGUGACUGUGAAAUAUAGAUUUUGCAUUAUUUUACACAGUGGAGCCUUAUUGUAUUAUUUAUAAUAUUAAUCAGUUCAUAUUUAAUUUUUAUUUUUGAUAGCCAGCAAUUAAGGAGAUUCUAUUAUUCAAAAAUAUAGAAAAAAUAUUCAUUUUCUUGAUUUUUUCUAAUUUAAUUUAAUUUUUAUUAAAGUAUAGUUAAUUUACACUGUUGUGUCAAUUUCUGUUGUACAGCAUAGUGACCCAGUCAUAAUUAUAUAUACAUUCUUUUUCUCAUACUAUCCUCCAUCAUGUUCUAUCCCAAGAUAUUGGAUAUAGUUCCCUGUUACACAGUAGGACCUCAUUGCUUAUCCAUUUUAAAUGUAAUAGUCUGCAUCUACCAAUCCCAAUCUUCCCAUCAAUCCACUCCCUUCUCCCCAGCAACCAUAAGUCUCUUCUCUACGUCUGUGAGUCUGUUUAUGUUUUGUAUAUAGGUUCAUUUGUGCCAUAUUUUAGAUUCCACAUGUAAGUGAUAUACGGUAUUUGUCUUUCUGCUUCUGACUUACUUCAUUAGUAUGAGAAUCUCUAGUUGUAUCCAUGUUGCUGCAAAUGGCACUAUUUUAUUCUUUUUAUGGCUGAGUAGUAUUCCAUCUCAUAUAUUUACCGUAUCUUACUCCAUUCAUCUGUCAAUGGACAUUUAGGUUGCUUCCAUGUCUUGGCUAUUGUGAAUAGUGCUGCUAUGAACAUAGGUAUGCAUUUAUCUCUUGGAAUUGUAGUUUUGUGCAGAUAUAUGCCCAGGAACAAAACUUCCACUGAAAAAUAUACAUGCACCCCUAUGUUCAUUGCAGCAAUAUUCACAAUAGCCAAGACAUGGAAACAACCUAAAUGUCCAUUGACAGAUGGUUUAAGGAGAUGUGGAACAUAUAUACAAUGAAAUACUACUUAGCCAUAAAAUAGGACAAACCAUUUUCAGCAACAUGGAUGCAACUACAGAGAUUUUCAUACUAAGCGAAGUAAGCCAGAAAGAGAAAGACAAAUACCAUAUAAUAUCACUUAUAUUUGGGAUCUAAAAUAUGGCACAAACGAUCCUAUCUACAAAACAGAACAGCUCAUGGAAAUGGUAAGCAGAGUUGUGUUUGCCAGAAAUGGUAAGCAGAGUUGUGUUUGCCAGGGGGAUGGGGGAGAGAAGAGGAUUGAUGGGGUUGUGGAAUUGAUAGAGGUAAACUAUUACAUUUAGAAUGGAUAAGUAGUGUGGUCCUAUUGCACAGAAUUGGGAACCAUGUCCUGUCUCUUGGGUUAGAACAUGGUGGAAGAUAGUAUGAAAAAAAAGUACAUAUAUAUAGGAUUGGGUCACUUAGCUGUAUAGCAGAAAUUAAAGGAACAUUGUUAAUCAACUAAACAUUAAUAAAAAUUGAAAAAAAAAAGCCUCUGAAUGUGCAUGAGAGUUGGAGAUGAGUAGAAGAUAUACUCUGCAGUAGUAGAAUCAUGACACCUGGGAACAUCACUUGGAGUCUUGGCUUUUUCUACAAUAUACCCCUGAGGUUAAAUGGAGUAUUACGAAGAAAUCAUCUAAUUCAGUGCAUGAAAAAGAAGAGGAAGAGAUUCUCAAUAAAUACCAUUCCUUUUUCCUAAUUCUGGUGUGUAUAUUUUGCAUUCAGGUUGAUGCCUGUAACAAUGUGCUCUUUUGGUAUGUCCCUAUAACCAGGUAUGAUAUUAGAUGAAUUCUGGCGAAAGACUACUCUGAUUUUUUUACUCCUUGAUUUUUUCCCCAGUGUUCUUAGCUCUGACAAAGUGUAAAAGGGGUGUGUGUGUGAAUGUCUUUACGUGUGUAUGCAAUAAAAAAUAAUUUAAUACC
rnacentral:lncRNA from 1 species